AUUGAACGCUGGCGGCAGGCUUAACACAUGCAAGUCGAGCGGAGAUGAGGUGCUUGCACCUUAUCUUAGCGGCGGACGGGUGAGUAAUGCUUAGGAAUCUGCCAUUUAGUGGGGGACAACAUUCCGAAAGGAAUGCUAAUACCGCAUACGUCCUACGGGAGAAAGCAGGGGAUCUUCGGACAUCGCGCUAAAGGAUGAGCCUAAGUCGGAUUAGCUAGUUGGAGGGGUAAAGGCCUACCAAGGCGACGAUCUGUAGCGGGUCUGAGAGGAUGAUACGCCACACUGGGACUGAGACACGGCCCAGACUCCUACGGGAGGCAGCAGUGGGGAAUAUUGGACAAUGGGUGGAAGCCUGAUCCAGCCAUGCCGCGUGUGUGAAGAAGGCCUUUUGGUUGUAAAGCACUUUAAGCGAGGAGGAGGCUACUAGUACUAAUACUACUGGAUAGUGGACGUUACUCGCAGAAUAAGCACCGGCUAACUCUGUGCCAGCAGCCGCCGUAAGAC
rnacentral:rRNA from 1 species